rnacentral:siRNA from 1 species
AGCAUAGAAGAGAUGGUGAUUGUG